rnacentral:pre_miRNA from 1 species
CGUGCAACGGUGGGGUCCCUCGGCCUGGCCUGCACCCUCUCACAAUCCGGGACCCCCUCGGCGGAUGUCAGAGAGCUGGUUUUAGCCCGAUCCUGCAGGCCAGGCUGAGGGACCCCACUAGUGCAUG